rnacentral:rRNA from 1 species
UAGGGAAUCUUCCACAAUGGACGAAAGUCUGAUGGAGCAACGCCGCGUGAGUGAAGAAGGGUUUCGGCUCGUAAAGCUCUGUUGUUGAAGAAGAACGUGGGUAAGAGUAACUGUUUACCCAGUGACGGUAUUUAACCAGAAAGCCACGGCUAACUACGUGCCAG